rnacentral:rRNA from 1 species
GACCAAGGAGUCUAACAUGUGCGCGAGUCAUUGGGACUGCGAAGCCUAAAGGCGCAAUGAAAGUGAAGGUCGCGCCAACCAAGGUCGACCGAGGGAGGAUGGGCCGCGUUUGCGCGCGGCUCCGCACUCCCGGGGCGUCUCGUUCUCAUUGCGAGAAGAGGCGCACCCAGAGCGUACACGUUGGGACCCGAAAGAUGGUGAACUAUGCCUGGUCAGGACGAAGUCAGGGGAAACCCUGAUGGAGGUCCGUAGCGAUUCUGACGUGCAAAUCGAUCGUCGGAACUGGGUAUAGGGGCGAAAGACUAAUCGACCAUC